rnacentral:rRNA from 1 species
CGGGUGGUAAUGCCGGAUGCUCCGGUUGGAUGCAUGUCCUUCCGGGAAAGGUUCCAUCGGUAUGGGAUGGGGUCGCGUCCUAUCAGCUUGAUGGCGGGGUAACGGCCCACCAUGGCUUCGACGGGUAGCCGGCCUGAGAGGGCGACCGGCCACAUUGGGACUGAGAUACGGCCCAGACUCCUACGGGAGGCAGCAGUGGGGAAUAUUGCACAAUGGGCGCAAGCCUGAUGCAGCGACGCCGCGUGCGGGAUGGAGGCCUUCGGGUUGUAAACCGCUUUUGAUCGGGAGCAAGCCCUUCGGGGUGAGUGUACCUUUCGAAUAAGCACCGGCUAACUACGUGCCAGCAGCCGCGGUAAUACGUAGGGUGCAAGCGUUAUCCGGAAUUAUUGGGCGUAAAGGGCUCGUAGGCGGUUCGUCGCGUCCGGUGUGAAAGCCCAUCGCUUAACGGUGGGUCUGCGCCGGGUACGGGCGGGCUGGAGUGCGGUAGGGGAGACUGGAAUUCCCGGUGUAACGGUGGAAUGUGUAGAUAUCGGAAAAGAACACC